ACCGCCGCGGGGGGUGCAACCGUUGUCCUGAGCCGUCCGCCGCUUCCCGGGUGUGCGGGCAUGCAUGGCUUCUUCCUUUGGGAGAGCCUCAA
rnacentral:rRNA from 1 species